AUGGAAAAAACUACCUCGUGGAGAAGAGUGAAUUACAAAUCCUCCGCGACCGAGGCCGCGCCGGGCUGUAAUUUCGGUUUGGCGCUGAUCCGCGCCGCUGCGGCUUGUCGAUGGCCUGAUUUAAGUUGUUGGGGCCCUGGGGAUGAAACCGGCCGCCCUCCUCGGUGCCUCUGCUGGGGUUUUGCGCUCUCUCCUAGCCCGGGCCUGAGGCGGCUUUUAAAGGAUUUUCCCCCAGGGUGGAGCUGUGUUAUCAGCGCUGCGCCAGAGCCUUGUCCCCCUCCAGCAAGCUGCGCGGGAUUACCAGGUCUUCCUCCAGGGAGCAAGCCAGGACAUCUGGAAGCAGAGAAGACCCCGGAGAUUUACACCCCUGCAUCCGGCCGCUCCUUCCCCACCUCUUCUGGACAUAAAGAGGGUUGGAGAACAACCCCGUGGCAAACCACAGCAGCUCCCCGGAGUUGGCUCGCAGCGAGGGUAAAAAGAGGCAGGAGCGAUGCAAAAACCCAGCGGGCAUUUGCUAAAAAUAGAAUAAAAUAAAAUUAAAUUAAAUAAA
rnacentral:lncRNA from 1 species